UGAUGAAAGACAAAUUUAUAGUACAAAACAGCAAAGAUUAACCCUUGUACCUUUUGCAUAAUGAAUUAACUAGAAUAAUCUGACAGAGAGAACUGUAGCCAGAAAGACUGAAACCAGAUGAGCUACCUAUGACAAGUCUGUGGGUCUAACUCAUAUAUGUGGCAAAAAGGUGAGAAGAUUUAUAGGUAGAUGUGAAAAGCCAGCCGAGCCUGGCGAUAGCUGGUUGUCUAGGAUAGUAUUUUAGUUCUAACUAAAAUUUACUAAAAGAAAUAAAGUAAUCAUAACAUAAAUUUUAGAGCUAUUCAAAAGAGGUACAGCUCUUUUGAUUCAGGAUACAACCUUGACUAGAGAGUAAAGAACCAAACGAUAAUUUCAUAGUUGGCCUAAAGGCAGCCAUCAAUUAAGAAAGCAUUAAAGCUCAACAACUGCUUACAUUAAAAAUACCAAAAAUUAACUGACCACCUCCUAGAUAUAACACUGGACUAAUCGAUAUAAAUAGAAGAAAUAAUGUUAAUAUAAGCAACAAGAACUAUUUCUCCCUGCACAAGCUAUAUCAGAUUGGAAGCCCACUGACAGUUAACAAUCCAUUAAUUAGAUCCAUAAACAAAUUCUUUAUUACAGUCAUUGUUAACCCAACACAGGUAUGCUUCAAGGGAAUGAUUAAAAGAAAUAAAAGAAACUCCCCAAAUACCAAACCCUACCUGUUUACCAAAAACAUCACCUCUAACAUUCUUAGGGUUUGAGGCACUGCACGCCCAGUGACAAAUGUUAAACAGUUGCUGUACUCUGACCGUGCAAAGGUAGCAUAAUCAUUUGUUCCUUAAAUGGGGACUUGUAUGAAUGGCCACACGAAGGUUUAAGUGUCUCUUACUUCUAAUCAGUGAAAUUGACCUUCUCGUGAAGAGGAGAGAAAUAUACACAGAAGACGAGAAGAACCUAUGGAGCUUAAAUUAAUUAAUUCAGCUAUAAUUGCACUAGCCUACAAAAGGCAUAACCAGGCAUGGCAAUGAAUUAAAAAUUUUGGUUGGGGUGACCUCAGAGAAUAAACUAACCUCCAAAUAGUGUUAUAAUCUAGACGUAACCAGUCAAAACAUAAAUCCCUUAACGACCCAAUAUUUGAUCAAUGGAAUAAGUUACCCUAGGGAUAACAGUGAAAUCCUAUUUUAGAGUUUUUUAUCAGUAGUAGUGGUUUUUUUUUUUUUUCAUCAGUAGUAGGGUUUACGGCCUCGAUGUUGGAUCAGGACAUCCUAAUGGUGUAAAAAAAAAAAAAAAGCCGCUAUUAAAGGCUUGUUUGUUUAAGGACUAAAGUCCUACGUGAUCUGAGUUCACAUGGAGUGAUCCGGGUCGGUUCCUACCUAUAGACAAUUUCUGCCAG
rnacentral:rRNA from 1 species